GAUUUCCACACUUUAGAUUUAGACGUAGAGGUCAGAUUCUCUGCUGUCUGGUACUAGAACUUGAAUUAGAAAUGGAUAUUGCAGAGAUAUUCCGUGCAUUUAGGAUAGACAAUACCAAAGAGAAUAGAUUUUUGGUCAUGACCUUAGUCGGCCUUGUUGUUGCAGAAAACUUUGUUGAGAAAGACUUUCAGUGCAUCUGUGAACCCAUCACUAGGGAAAUCUUUUUCACCUUCUACCUGGUCACACCUGCCUUUACCAUUUUUACUGUCACAUUUUGCGUUGUGCGUGAGCUGGAUAGGCAGGAUAGGCAGGAAAUGCAAAAUCAGCUAAAUAAUGGAGGAGCUCAAAAUCCGGCAUCUGUUGGAAGGAAAAUUUUAAGUUUUUUUAUUCCAAGUAUCUUUUGGAUAAUCUUGUUUCUUAGUGAUGGCAGAUAUGUGUCGUGUGUGGCUACUGUAUUUAAUUCUACAUACGCUGACAGCAGUCCACUGCCUCCGUGGGAAUGGUGUGAGAAAAACCGAACACUGACCUCUGAACAGAUGACAGCAAAGAGAGCGUAUGUCUGGUCUAAGGGCGUAGGGUUUGGUCUCAUUCUCUUAUGCUCUGCUAUAAUACUGCUUCGUGAAUACAUCUCGAAUCAAUGCUGUGUAGCACCCAAUCCACAGAGAGAUGACAGAAAUGCUGGGGCACAGACGAGGGAUGGGCUUGAAACGAUUCCGAUGUAAGGUGCUGCUCGGACGGAGCAAAACCCUGGACAGUAGACACCUGCACAUACAAGCGAACCAUCUGAAACAACUCCACUGCAGGACCCUGCCGGGACUCAGGAAAGCAGAACACAGCAGACACAGCACGUAUAAAUUCUGCACAGCUUUUUAGAACUAAGAGCUAAGAAAGCAUCAGCUCAUCACUGUAACAUUUCAUCCUCUCUGAAACCUUUUCACGCUUUUUAUGAGUAGACCUUUCUUGCAUCGCGUAUAUCUUCUUUUAUGUCAUUUACUGGAGGAAAGGUGGUUGACUUAUUUUCAAACUUAAACUUCUACUCUGUUAUAACAGUUCAUUUUUUCUGCAAGUUGUGUUUAAUGGAUUUUCCUGAAGUUUCUUUAUUUCACUGGAUGUUGAUUUGAUUUAUUUUAUUUUCUUCCUGGUAUAUGGGCUGACCGUGCCGCCGGAACCACGGUGGUGAGUGGGCACUUGACCCACCACUGAGUUCAGAACGCGAACAUAAAAACCUCUUUCCCUGAACUGCAUUAUGUGCUGACCAGCACAAACAGGCAGAGUAAAACAUCAGAAUCUCCAUUUCAGCUGGGAGGUGCUGUUGGAGCUGCCUUGGUUGAUGGAGACUUGUUGAACUUUCCUUUAGUUUUGUUUCGAUAUGCAACUCCACCUGAAUUCAGGCAACUGAACUACGCUAAUUCACAAGGUACUUCAACAUUACAGUGCAUUUUUUAUCCUGUGAUCAUUUUUUUGUACUGUCUGCACAAUAUGCUGCGUCCUGGUGGCACAGCGGUAACGUCACGGACUGUAGGGUUUUUCCACGAGCUUGUCUUCCAACACCAGAGAGAUGCUACAUGCCAGGCUUCUGUAAAUUAGAAAGACUUUGGCAUGGAUGUUAAUUCAGGGAUGAUUUGAUUUUUUUUUUAGUACAUCAAAUAACUCAUUUUGUGUUACUAUUUACUGGGUGCAUCAUAUUAACCCAAUCUAACAGAGCACAUUUCAUAUCAUAAACACGUAUUUUAGAUUUAUUGCCUUUUUUCACUUUUAUUUUGUCUAUGAGCUUUCAUCGUAUACUUUGGAAAAUCGGUUUUGUUGAGAGUUUAAAUAAAAAACUCAAUUAAACAUCAA